rnacentral:rRNA from 1 species
GACGAACGCUGGCGGCGUGCCUAAUACAUGCAAGUUGAGCGCUGAAGGUUGGUACUUGUACCGACUGGAUGAGCAGCGAACGGGUGAGUAACGCGUGGGGAAUCUGCCUUUGAGCGGGGGACAACAUUUGGAAACGAAUACUAAUACCGCAUAAAAACUUUAAACACAAGUUUUAAGUUUGAAAGAUGCAAUUGCAUCACUCAAAGAUGAUCCCGCGUUGUAUUAGCUAGUUGGUGAGGUAAAGGCUCACCAAGGCGAUGAUACAUAGCCGACCUGAGAGGGUGAUCGGCCACAUUGGGACUGAGACACGGCCCAAACUCCUACGGGAGGCAGCAGUAGGGAAUCUUCGGCAAUGGACGAAAGUCUGACCGAGCAACGCCGCGUGAGUGAAGAAGGUUUUCGGAUCGUAAAACUCUGUUGGUAGAGAAGAACGUUGGUGAGGGUGGAAAGCUCAUCAAGUGACGGUAACUACCCAGAAAGGGACGGCUAACUACGUG